GACGGAGGGGCUAGCGUUGUUCGGAAUGACUGGGCGUAAAGGGCGCGUAGGCGGUUUUUAAGUGAGGCGUGAAAGCCCUGGGCUUAACCCAGGAGGUGCGUUUCAGACUGAAAGCUUGAGUGCGAGAGAGGAAAGUGGAAUUCCUGGUGUAGCGGUGAAAUGCGCAGAUAUCAGGAAGAACACCCGUGGCUAAGGCGGCUCUCUAGUACGGUACUGACGCUGAGACGCGAAAGCGUGGGGAGCGAACAGG
rnacentral:rRNA from 1 species